GGGGAAUUCGUAUAGCGGCAGUACGGCGCCUCCGCACGGCGCAAACGAGAGUUCGAUCCUCUCAUUCUCCA
rnacentral:tRNA from 1 species